GAUGAACGCUGGCGGCGCGCUUAACACAUGCAAGUCGAACGAGAAAUUUAUAUUAGAUCCUUCGGGUGAAGAUAUAAAUGGAAAGUGGCGGACGGGUGAGUAACGCGUGGGUAACCUACCUUGUACAGGGGGAUAACAGUCUGAAAAGGCUGCUAAUACCGCAUAAGACUACAGUGUCGCAUGACACAGUAGUAAAAGCUCCGACGGUACAAGAUGGACCCGCGUCUGAUUAGCUAGUAGGUAAGGUAAUGGCUUACCUAGGCGACGAUCAGUAGCCGGCCUGAGAGGGUGAACGGCCACAUUGGAACUGAGACACGGUCCAAACUCCUACGGGAGGCAGCAGUGGGGAAUAUUGCACAAUGGGGGAAACCCUGAUGCAGCGACGCCGCGUGAAGGAAGAAGGUUUUCGGAUCGUAAACUUCUAUCAGCAGGGAAGAAUAAAUGACAGUACCUGACUAAGAAGCCCCGGCUAACUACGUG
rnacentral:rRNA from 1 species